AUGCUGUGAUGAUGACACUUUCUCAACAGUUCCUUGAAUCUCUCCCAAGAGUCAUAUAAAGAUUCCCCCUCAGGCUGGUAAAAAUUAUUGAUCUCCCCCCUUAAUUU